AUUGAACGCUGGCGGCAGGCCUAACACAUGCAAGUCGAGCGGAUGAAGAGAGCUUGCUCUCUGAUUUAGCGGCGGACGGGUGAGUAAUGCCUAGGAAUCUGCCUGGUAGUGGGGGAUAACGUUCCGAAAGGAACGCUAAUACCGCGUACGUCCUACGGGAGAAAGCAGGGGACCUUCGGGCCUUGCGCUAUCAGAUGAGCCUAGGUCGGAUUAGCUAGUUGGUGAGGUAAUGGCUCACCAAGGCGACGAUCCGUAACUGGUCUGAGAGAAUGAUCAGUCACACUGGAACUGAGACACGGUCCAGACUCCUACGGGAGGCAGCAGUGGGGAAUAUUGGACAAUGGGCGAAAGCCUGAUCCAGCCAUGCCGCGUGUGUGAAGAAGGUCUUCGGAUUGUAAAGCACUUUAAGUUGGGAGGAAGGGCGUUUGGCUAAUAUCCAGGCGUUUUGACGUUACCAACAGAAUAAGCACCGGCUAACUUCGUGCCAGCCGCCGCCGUAACAC
rnacentral:rRNA from 1 species